rnacentral:misc_RNA from 1 species
GGAUGGAUCAUUAACGUAGUAAUAACGCAAGUUAUUAUAUAACAUAUGUUAACCCUUGUGGUGAAAUAGUUUGUUGUUGUUUGGUAGGAUUAUACAUGUAUAUAGUAAUAUAUAUAUGUACAUGACUGCCGACAUCAUUUAUAAAACCUUUUUAUUACAUUGUACUAAUGCUAUCUUGUGAUGAGAUUAGGGGUAACUCUAUGAUUAUACCAAGUAAAACAAUUAUAACCAAAUACAAUUGCUAGCAACGGAUCACUCGGCUCUCGCGUCGAUGAAGAACGUAGCGAACUGCGAAAAUUAAUGCGACCCGCAACACGUGAGUCAUCGAGUCUUUGAACGCAUAUUGCACCCGACGGGCUCGCUCGUCGGGUCUGCCUGUCUGAGUAUCAGUACGGACCCAAUUAAUACUUAAAGGCGUUAAAACCUGAAAGUGUUAUGUUGGUGCUCGUUGAUUUUAUACAUUUAUGUUUAUUAUUGACGGAUGUGAGCGUCCGGUUAAUAACCUCGGUUAUAUACCCGGUCACUUGAAAUGCAUCAGUACGAUUCUGUUGAUCGUCAACCCGUUAGCAUUGUUGAUCAUCUUUUGAUGUUCUUUGCUUAUCCACGGAGACACUAAACAGCGUACUAAGCGUAAUUACCCGUAUGUUUUGCAUACUCACCCAUCUUGAUCUCAGAUCAGGCAGGAUGACCCGCUGAACUUAAGCAUAUCAGUAAGCGGAGGAAAAGAAACUAACCAGGAUUCCCUUAGUAACGGCGAGUGAAGCGGGAAUAGCCCAAUUUGAAAAGCUGGUCGGCCCCGGUGCCGGUCCCGCAUUGUAAAUUGAUGGGGCGUUACCUAGUGUUAAACCUUUUGGUCAAAGUUCCUUGGAAAAGGACGUCAAAGAGGGUGAUAACCCCGUGUGUGACCAAAUGACAUACCAGUUUAAUGCGCUUAUGGUGCGUCUCCUUAGAGUCGGAAUGUUUGGGAUUGCAUUCCAAAGUGGGUGGUAAACUCCAUCUAAGGCUAAAUACUGGCGAGAGACCGAUAGCGAACAAGUACCGUGAGGGAAAGUUGAAAAGCACUCUGGAGAGAGAGUCAAACAGUACGUGAAAUUGCUAGCAAGGAAACGUUGGGCACCAGUACACGGCAAUUAAUGUUAAUGAUCAGCCAGGUGUGUUGUGAGAAUGUAGUGUGUUGCUUGCUUUAGAGACUAUCCUUGUGGUGGCUCCCAUAUUACAUAUCAAUCGAUGCACAGGUGCACUCUUUAACAGCCGGGUCAACAUCGGUUAAUGACGUUCGAAGAGUCGCGUAGCAAGGUACCUUUAAUUGACUUUGGUUAAUUAUCGGACUUAUAGGCUAUGUGUACGAGGAUGUCGUUGACCGAGGCGGCAUAGCGACUCGCGCGUUUCGGCGCAGGGCGUAUUAGUAGAGUCUUGGUUACCCGUGGUGCUAGGCAGCAUGCUGACUAGUAUUAUUUUGUUAGACUUUGGUUUGACAGUGGUAGUCGCUCUAUUAGUACAAGCCACUAGCGAGUCUAUGACGGUUGACGAAAUGGUUCUCAACGACCCGUCUUGAAACACGGACCAAGGAGUCUAACAUGUCUGCGAGUGUUUGGGUGGAAAACCCGAACGCGGAAUGAAAGUGAAGAGGCAAGUUUCGUACUUGCCCACUGGUAGGAGUCGUCUAACCUUGGUUGAAUGAUGCACUACCGACCGACCUGUUGCCCUCUGUGGUGGUAGGUUUGAGUUGGAGCAGUCCUGUUAGGACCCGAAAGAUGGUGAACUAUGCCUGAGCAGGAUGAAGCCAGAGGAAACUCUGGUGGAGGUCCGUAGCGGUUCUGACGUGCAAAUCGAUCGUCGGACUUGGGUAUAGGGGCGAAAGACUAAUCGAACCAUCUAGUAGCUGGUUCCUGC